UACGUAGGGACCAAGCGUUGUUCGGAUUUAUUGGGCGUAAAGAGCUCGUAGGCGGUCUGUUACGUCUGCUGUGAAAACCCUGGGCUUAACCCUGGGCUUGCAGUGGAUACGGGCAGACUAGAGGCAGGUAGGGGAGAAUGGAAUUCCCGGUGUAGCGGUGAAAUGCGCAGAUAUCGGGAGGAACACCGGUGGCGAAGGCGGUUCUCUGGGCCUGACCUGACGCUGAGGAGCGAAAGCGUGGGGAGCGAACAGG
rnacentral:rRNA from 1 species